GCUGUGAUGGCCGAGUGGUUAAGGUGUUGGACUCGUAAGUCAUUUCCCCACGCAGGUUCAAAUCCUGCUCACAGCG
rnacentral:tRNA from 1 species